rnacentral:ncRNA from 1 species
AGAACCUGCCCUUGGGAGGGGAACAAAAACUGGAAACGGUUGCUAAUACCCCGUAGGCUGAGGAGCAAAAGGAGAAAUCCGCCCAAGGAGGGGCUCGCGUCUGAUUAGCUAGUUGGUGAGGCAAUAGCUUACCAAGGCGAUGAUCAGUAGCUGGUCCUAGAGGAUGAUCAGCCACACUGGGACUGAGACACGGCCCAGACUCCUACGGGAGGCAGCAGUGGGGAAUUUUCCGCAAUGGGCGAAAGCCUGACGGAGCAAUGCCGCGUGGAGGUGGAAGGCCUACGGGUCGUCAACUUCUUUUCUCGGA